rnacentral:misc_RNA from 1 species
UAGAGGAAGUAAAAGUCAUAACAAGGUUUCCGUAGGUGAACCUGCGGAAGGAUCAUUAGAGAUGCCGAAAGGCUUUUCCAAACACCUGUGCACCGGCCUGAAGCCCGCGAGGGCCGACGGCCAUCUACACACAUACAGCUGUCAUGAACGUAAAUUAUCAUAACGAAAAAACAACUUUCAACAACGGAUCUCUUGGCUCUCGCAUCGAUGAAGAACGCAGCGAAAUGCGAUAAGUAAUGUGAAUUGCAGAAUUCAGUGAAUCAUCGAAUCUUUGAACGCACCUUGCGCCUUUUGGUAUUCCGAAAGGCAUGCCUGUUUGAGUGUCAUGUAGACUCAACCCCUCGGGUUUCUUGCCCGAGGUGCGUUGGAUCUGGGCCCUGCCUACCUGGCUGGCCUUAAAUGUGUUAGCGGUGACCGCGCAGACGUUGUAAGCACUCGUCGACCGUCGGGCCCGCUCAUAACCCCACCUACUUUUGCACUCUGACCUCAAAUCAGGUAGGGCUACCCGCUGAACUUAAGCAUAUCA